rnacentral:rRNA from 1 species
CCUACGGGAGACAGCAGUGGGGAAUAUUGCACAAUGGGGGAAACCCUGAUGCAGCGACGCCGCGUGAGCGAUGAAGUAUUUCGGUAUGUAAAGCUCUAUCAGCAGGGAAGAAAAUGACGGUACCUGACUAAGAAGCCCCGGCUAACUACGUGCCAGCAGCCGUGGUAAUACGUAGGGGGCAAGCGUUAUCCGGAUUUACUGGGUGUAAAGGGAGCGUAGACGGCUGUGCAAGCCAGAUGUGAAAGCCCGGGGCUCAACCCCGGGACUGCCUUUGAAACUGUGUGGCUGGAGUGUCGGAGAGGCAGGCGGAAUUCCUGGUGUAGCGGUGAAAUGCAUAGAUAUUAGGAAGAACACCAGUGGCGAAGGCAGCCUGCUGGACGAUGACUGACGUUGAGGCUCGAAAGCGUGGGUAGCGAACAGGAUUAGAUACCCCAGUAGUC